GAUGAACGCUGGCGGCGUGCCUAAUACAUGCAAGUCGAGCGAACGGACGAGAAGCUUGCUUCUCUGAUGUUAGCGGCGGACGGGUGAGUAACACGUGGAUAACCUACCUAUAAGACUGGGAUAACUUCGGGACACCGGAGCUAAUACCGGAUAAUAUUUUGCACCGCAUGGUUCAAAAGUGAAAGACGGUCUUGCUGUCACUUAUAGAUGGAUCCGCGCUGCAUUAGCUAGUUGGUAAGGUAAAGGCGUACCAAGGCAACGAUGCAUAGCCGACCUGAGAGGGUGAUCGGCCACACUGGAACGGAGACACGGUCAAGACUCCUACGGGAGGCAGCAGUAGGGAAUCUUCCGCAAUGGGCGAAAGCCUGACGGAGCAACGCCGCGUGAGUGAUGAAGGUCUUCGGAUCGUAAAACUCUGUUAUUAGGGAAGAACAUAUGUGUAAGUAACUGUGCACAGCUUGACGGUACCUAAUCAGAAAGCCACGGCUAACUACGUG
rnacentral:rRNA from 1 species